GAUGAAGAACGUAGCGAAAUGCGAUACUUGGUGUGAAUUGCAGAAUCCCGUGAACCAUCGAGUCUUUGAACGCAAGUUGCGCCCGAAGCCAUUAGGCCGAGGGCACGCCUGCCUGGGCGUCACACGUCGUUGCCCCCCCAUCUACUCCUUCGGGAUUGCGGGGGGCGGAUGAUGGCCUCCCGUGCGCCUCACCGCGCGGUUGGCAUAAAUGCCAAGUCCUCGGCGACGCACGCCACGACAAUCGGUGGUUGCGAAACCUCGGUUGCCCGUCGUGUGCGGUCGUCGCGCAUCGAGGGCUCGAAAAAAUUGCCGGGUUCCGGCUCGGCUUUCAACGCGACCCCAGGUCAGGCGGGGUUACCCGCUGAAUUUAAGCAUAUCAAUAAGCGGAGGA
rnacentral:misc_RNA from 1 species